rnacentral:tRNA from 1 species
GCCUGGCUGGCUCAGUCCGUAGAGCAUGUGACUCUUGAUCCCGGGGUCAUGAGCUCGAUCCCCAUGUUGGGCC